rnacentral:lncRNA from 1 species
GCUAUAAUAUAUUCUAUAUAUUGAAGUAACUGUCUGAGGGUUGGCCUGACAAAUUUUUCAGGGAAACACUUCAUUAUUUAGGAUCUGCUGCUGGACAGGCCCUUUUUCCAUUUCAGACUGUAGAAAAGUAUAAAUAUAUGGCUAUUUCUUUGUUAUUCUAGAGGCUGAGUAAACAGCACACAUCAUGUCUACACUAUCACUCCACUGUUUGUUUGAUUUUCAUUAAUCAAUUCUUAUUCAUAAAGAAAAAAGUUACAAGAAUAUUACUAAUAUGCCUACUUACAUUAAACAGCAAGUGUCUUAAAUUUUAUGAAUAAUUUAAAUUUUGUAGAUAUCAAAUAUACUGAACAGAUUUAACUGAAACCCUCAAGGUCACUUACACCGCAUCAACGAGCAGCUGUUGUGUCUUCUCCUCACGGUUGCAGAUAAAUAGGUUUUACUGUACUUAUGCAUACUCCCGAUACGUUAUUAGUUUAGGAACACACAGAACCUCACAAACCCAAAAGCUAAAUGCACAUUUUUAAAUAUUAUUAUUUUAAUGCACAUUAAAUACCAUAAUUCUGUAUGGUAUGAGUGGUGAAUACAAUCACAUACUUUUUUUUUUGUCAAAUUUACGAAAGAGCGCACACUGUAAGGUUAAAUGAAUAUCUUUCAUAUUUAAAUACUUUAUUAGAAAUGUAUUUUUUGGUUGUUUUUAUGAUGGUUAUGUUAAUAUUUGAUUUUGUAAACUUUUCCAAGUUAUUUAUUGUAGUAAGUUGAUCUAAAUAAUUAUUGUUAUUGUGAUGUAUGUUGGUGCCUUACUAUAUAAAGCAAAAAAAACACAAAUGUCCAUAUAAUGGUUUCCUAUUCUGUGAAAUAGUUGCAGAAUACAUUUGUUGUCAUGUAACUGAAGAAGAUAACAGAAAAAUAUCAUUUAGCUCAUUUAGAAUUCUGGCAAAGUUAGUUAUUUUUGUAGGGAGCUAAACUAUUUACACUUGGUCUCCCAUUUCUUUUUCAUUUUGUAAAUGUAGUAAUCUUGUUUUCUUUAGCUCUAAAUAAUUUUUUAUAUUUAUAUUUUGUUCUCUUAAAGAUGUUAUUGAAUUCUUGAUAAAUAGCUCAUUUGUAAUCCUCCAUGAUUUUGUCCGUUACAUGGCAAACUGAAGAUGGGUGAUAUACGAAGAUAUAAGAAGAGAAAUAAUGAAGAAAGAAGAGUCCAAAAUACUGCAAAAAUUCAGAAUGGGCAGAUCGCCUACAUAAAAAAUGAAAACAGUUCUCUUGUGUAUAUUAGAUUCGUUCUCGGAAAUGAAUAUAGUUUGUUGUAUGCCUAUUUAUACUAAAAAUAUGUUUGCUGUCAAAUCCAAAUUCCAAGCGGAAAUGUUAAGUUUUUAUUUUUCAUAAUUAUGGGAUAAUAUCCCCUUGUCUUUAGAAAGUUUCUAUACCUAAUGUGCCUUUUAUUAAAUCUGUUUAACAAUUAUUAUUCUUCUAUGGAGUGUAUGAGGUUAUUGUUAUAAAACUGAAAUUAGUUUUUAGUUAGUACUGUAUUUAUUAGCUUUUAGGUUAUAAUAAAAAUAUAAAAGGAGAA